ACUACUACAGUACUCAGGUGGCUGGUGACCGCAGGCUGGUGCUACACUUCUUUAUUAAAGAGGUGACACUGGAGCAGUUCAUUGCCUUGGAGAAAUCUUGUCUUCAGAGUAGAGAUUAUGGCAAGGAGGUUGCACCACCGCAUUGCUGGACGCACACAGCGCCCUUCCCUGCAGGAGCUGUGUGGUCACGUCUUUUGUUUGUGUUUGCAGGUACGUCACUUUCUUGUGCUUCACACCUUGCACUCUGUAAGUCUCACAUUUCAUUGAUCUGCACAUUGUUAAUACAUUAGCGCAGCGAUCGUGGUGCAGCUGUGUGUCUUCCUCCUGCCAGCAUGAGUGCAUCUGGCGGUCCUGUUUUAGGAUGUGUGUUAUGAAUGCUUCACAUAUUAUAUCAUCAUGUAAUGAUCAACAGACCUCUCUAAAGCAGCGAUGGUCGCUGCUGGUUUGGUGGUUUGGUGGCGUGGUUUGCGAGAAGUGUUUCCUGAGUCUCAGCCAUCAGCCUCCUCUCAGAUCAGUGUUUCCUAAAGUUCUCACAAUACUUCAGAGAGUUUCCUGUGAAGGUGAAGAAGAAAUUUUAUAUAAUGGGAAAAAUGAAAGUGAUAAUAGUGAUAAGAAAAGCAGAGAUCGGUGAUUUCCAGAGUUUUCACAUUCAACAUCUUAUCGCCAUGGAGCAAUGCACAAGUUUACAAUAUUCUAUAAACUGAUCAAUAUUUGGCCAAGACUGCAAAAAUCGUGCUGCUAGAGAGAUUCUUCUAAAUGGAAGAAAAUUUUAGAUUGGUGAGGUAAUAUGUUCACAUGCAACCAUCUCUGGGAAGAUAAAAUGCCAGCAGGUCAGUCGCUUCCUUCCUUCCUUCAAGAGAAGUGUUCUUUAGUAUUUUAGUGGUUUUUACCUGUCUUCAGAUGAGAAUCUGAAGGCAGGAUUGUAUUUCCCGAAGCCUAACUAGGAAUAAAAGAAUGCUGCCGGUAC